GAGCACACAGCCAUUUUUGAAGCACAGAACAAGUCUUCAUCAGACACAGAAUUUGCUGGCACCUGGAUUUUGGACUUUCCAGUCUUAUGAACUGUCUCUGUUUACCCUGCUUCUCCAGCCUGAGUUCCUUUUUUUUCUCCAUUCUGCUUGUUGAACUCCUGCCAAACUCCGAUUUUGACAUCAAAGCCCACCUUGAAUGCUGCUUGUCGCUAAAGCCAUCGCUGGCAUUUCCAGACAUUGUCAAUAUCUACUGGACUAAAGAAAUUCUCUACUAAUCAGAAAAGGAAUUGGUCUGUAUUGAAGCUGGAAAGAAAAUCAGAGGAGCCAAUGCUGUCAGAGUGCAUCCAAGGACCAUUUAAAGAUGUCCUGGCCGGAGGUCUGGGCUGUCAGGUCCUGCCAGCAGGUAGAUUCCUUCCAGAGACAUUCCUUGACCUGAUACCAUCAAAUCACUUUAGUAGGACAAGUAACUUUCCUUAUUCUCAUUUCAUGCUUGCUAGACAACUGAUUAUACUUUAGUUUUGGAAGUAAAUUUCUUACAUGAAGGAAAUAA
rnacentral:lncRNA from 1 species